rnacentral:rRNA from 1 species
CUUCCAUCCCGCACCCUUCGUCUAAUCGUCCCCAGCCCAUGGAGGAUUCCAAGGGGAGCGACGGCGGCGGCGAGAGGCCCGGCGCCGACCACAACCCUAUCCCGGAUCAGCCGCCGCCGCUCGCUGCUCCCGGAGGAGGGCGCGAUGCCGCCGCGGCUGCUGCUGCUGCUGCGGCGGCGGCGGCGGCCUUGGCCGAGGACGAGGCGCGGCGCCCGUUCACGGCCCUCAGCCAGGUCGACGCCGACCUAGCCCUGGCGCGCGUCCUCCAGGAGCAGGAACGGGCGUAUAUGAUGCUCCGGAUGAACGGAGUCGGCGGCGGCGGCGGCGAGGGCAGCGACUACGGGAGCUCGGAGGCCGGGAGCUACGAGUACGACGAGGAUGCCGAGGAGGACUACGAGGAGGAGCUCGAGAACCACCUCCGCGUCCACCACCACGAGCACCCAGGCGGUGGCGAGGGCGAUGGGGACGAUGAUCUCGAGGCUGAUGGCGAGGGCAAGGGUGAGGGUGAGGGCGAGGAUGAAGGCGAGGGUGACGGUUCUGAAGAGAGCGAGUACGAGGAGGAGGGGUUCGAUGAGGACGAGGAGGUGGAGGAUGUGGAUCUAGACCCGGCAGAGUACGAGGACGACGAGGCUUAUGCGCGGGCGCUUCAGGACGCUGAGGAGCGUGAGGUUGCCGCGCGGCUUAUGGCUCUCGCUGGGAUCAGCGAUUGGCGGGCGGUGGAGCAUGUCGAGGAUCAGAUAAACGACGCGCAGGAUUCAUGGCAAGAGGUUGAUCCAGAUGAGUACUCUUAUGAGGAGUUAGUUGCAUUGGGUGAAGUAGUUGGCACAGAAAGUAGAGGUCUCUCUGCUGAUACACUUGCUUCCUUACCUUCAGUAACUUACAAGACAAAAGAUAUGCAAGAUGGCAACACAGAACAAUGUGUAAUUUGUCGUGUGGAAUUUGAGGAAGGUGAAUCUUUGGUUGCACUUCCCUGCAAUCAUUCAUACCAUCCUGACUGCAUUAAUCAGUGGCUUCAAAUAAAUAAGGUAUGCCCUAUGUGUAGCGCAGAAGUUUCUACCUCAGCAAGCAAGCAGGCAUGACCAACAGUCGUUGGUAAACCAACUUCAUCUUCAGAAAAGAAAAGAAAAACACCAGUUGUUGGCACUUGGUAGGAGUAUCGAGUAUGUAGUGGCAUCAUUCUAGUAUCCCUGAUGUUUAAACCAAAGCAAGGCAGCAGAAUUUCUACAGUACAAACUUGCAAGGGGACCAGGGACAUGGAGCAUUUUUUUUAUGCCUUGCCGCUGAUGCUCCGCGUUCUCUUACUCUUGUACACUAACUGUGUUACUACCGUCGAUCAAUUUUUUCUUUUCUCAGUGUAUAUUAUGAGUAUCGCAUUAAUGCAUUGGGAUUUAGAGAUUUAUAUCUGGAGCUAGAUAUGCAGUAUGGGUGUGCUGGAAUUUAUAUAUUCCCAUUUAAGCGCUCGUCAUCACAUCAGAAUUGAUGAGUAUUCCGAAUAUUCACAAUUAUAGGCAAUCAAUUAUGAUUGGUCGUGC